AUUUUUGAAAAUUUGACCU
rnacentral:rRNA from 1 species